rnacentral:ncRNA from 1 species
GGCCAAUUGCCUGAAUAUUUUACGCUUGAAAUAAUGAAUGAAUAAGACAGACCUCUGUUCUGUUUUCAGUAGAUCAAAUGAUUAAUAGAAGCAGUUUGGGACAUUUGUAUUACAGUGCGAAAGACGAAAUUCUUAGAUCACCGUAAAGGUAACUUAAACGAAAGUAUUCGCUAAAGAUGUUUUUAUU